rnacentral:rRNA from 1 species
GCGCGGUGGUCCCACCUGACCCCAUGCCGAACUCAGAAGUGAAACGCUGUAGCGCCGAUGGUAGUGUGGGGUCUCCCCAUGCGAGAGUAGGGAACUGCCAGGC